GGGAAGAUCGUGGUACAAGGUUUGAAUGCUACGAGUACUAGCCUAGCUACUACCACUGCUGCAAUGCAGAAGGCAGACUUCCAAAACAUAAAUGAUUCUACGAGAUCUGCGUGGACUUUGUUUAUGUCCUCGCUGGAAAUUUCCACCGCAACGAAUGUUCCGCAUGGCCGUAUGGGCUACCUUUCAAUAGGAUAAACAUUUACUUCGAAGCAGAAAUGUACUAGCAACAGAAUUCCCGCCAAAUAGUGCU
rnacentral:lncRNA from 1 species